CGGCGGAAUGCAGCAGUGGAGAAGGCGGACCAUAGUCGGAAAUGACCGCCGGCGGAUGCAUUAGCGGAGGGGGAGUGAUCAAGGAUUAAAGAUCCGAUGUUAUUCCGGUGACACUUGGCCAUUACGCAACAGAUUUUUGUCGGGGAGCUACAUUGCUGAGGGAAAAAAGCCAAAGAGAAAGCAAAUUCGGCAGAGGGAGAGAAAGAGAGCGACCGUGUGCACUUGUGCCCUGAUAGAGAGAGAGAGAGAGAGAGAGAG
rnacentral:misc_RNA from 1 species